rnacentral:tRNA from 1 species
CAAAAUGUAGCUUAAUUAAAGCCCACUUGCUUACACCAAGACAAUAUCUGUUUAACUCAGAUCAUUUUGAG